rnacentral:snRNA from 1 species
UUAUGUACCCGGCAGGGGAGCUACCAUGAUCACAAAGCUCUUUUCCCAGGACCAGGCUUAUCCAUCGCAAUGCGGAUAUGCUCACCCUGCGGUUUCCCCAAAUGUGGGAAACCUGGCAGCAUAAUUUGUGGUAGUGGGCGACUAUGCUCAAGCCCUCCCC